rnacentral:rRNA from 1 species
GACGAACGCUGGCGGCGUGCUUAACACAUGCAAGUCGAACGAAGUGGCGAACGGGUGAGUAAUACGUGGGUAACCUGCCCUCCUUUUUGGGAUAAGCCUUGGAAACGGGGUCUAAUACCGAAUAAAGGGGGAUGGGCUCGCGGCCUAUCAGCUUGUUGGUGGGGUGAUGGCCUACCAAGGCGGUGACGGGUAGCCGGCCUGAGAGGGUGACGGGCACUGUUGGACCGGAGAUACGGCCCAGACACCUAGGGGAGGGGGAAGUGGGGGAUAGUGCACAAUGGGGAAAAGCCUAAUGCAGCGGAGCCGCGUGGGGGAUGAAGUCGUUCGGGUUGUAAGCCUGUGUGGCAAUCGAACGGGUAGGUAGAGAAGAAGCGCCGGCUAACUACGUGCCAGCAGCCGCGGUAAUAC